AGGUAGUGAGUUAUCUCAAUUGACUGUUCAUAGUCAGUUACAGAUCAAACUCUGUUCUGUAUCCCCACUUCUCACUGCUGCAA
rnacentral:sRNA from 1 species